CGACACGCCCCCUUUCGUGCCCAGGAACUGAAGGGAAGAGAGGACCUGAUUUAGGUAUUGCAUAGAUUGGUUACAUUUCCUGAUCUUGGAGAAGUGGGUUUAUGCAGGAGAUGUCCUAUGGGGUCCAGCAGCACACACCCUUCUGGUCCCUUGAGCUAUGUGCUCUAGGAGCACCCCCUGUGUGCCCUUCUGAUGUGGUGGAGCCAACUACUAUGGACACACUGUUCUGGAGACUGGGAAGUCCAGGAUCAAGGCUCCGGCAGAUUCAUUGUCUGGUGAGACAGACAUGGAAGACAUUCACUUCCUGGUUUGUAGAUGGCCAUCUUUUUUUGCUGUAUCCUCACACAGAGAAAGAGGAGUACUUUUCUGAAUCACAGAGGGACACUGCGCAGUGAAGAUGGACUUCAUCGUAAUCCCCAAUGAACUUAAAGACGGUGACGUGGAAGCGACAGGAUUCUACAGCAUUCUCAGCCCUCCAGUCUUCACGCAGACCUUCCGUCUUAACUAGACCCCCAACUCCCAGACAGAUGAUUCGAGGUUUAAGUGUCAGAAGAACAGGAAGCAGAAGGAAGGAGCCUCGGGAAGCAGGGACAGGCUGUCUGGAUGCCGCCUUAGGGGGACAAACAGACCGAGCACUAGAAUCCUUUGUCCACUAUCAGAGGAACAAGUGUCCUUUCCUCUGGGCACAUGAAGAGAACAGAGAAGUGACCUUCGUGUGCCCAGACCUUGGCAUCACUGGUAGAUGGCGGUGGCGUCUCUGCCCCCAACGUAGCUGGAGAGGAGCGGCUGGCCCCUCCCCCCAAACUCUGAUGCGGACCCACUCUGCAGCUCAGCCGUUCCGCACUGGGCAGCAGUUUUCCCAUAAGCUCACUGGGAAAAACCAAUAACCACAUCCCUCCAAGAAAGGUCAAGAGGACUCAUGAAUUAAAUUCUCUCACACGAUGAAAUUACUUCACACCCAACAACAGUUUAAUUUGAAGACCUUCAUGCAGACCCUGGGGGGAGCUGAGAUUUAUGAACCCGCUCACUUACUCUCCCUCUCUGGGUCAACUCUAUUAAAUACCGUUUAAAAAAUGCUAAAUGCCACAGUGUCCUUCAAAGGCGGCCCAAGCCUGCCCACCCGGGUUGUACAGCGGCUCAGAUCGUAGCUCUUUUACUUUGUGAAAGGGCCAUGGCUGGGGCGGGGGGGAGGGGGAGGGAGAGGAAGGGAACAGAUGAAGAAACGGAGACCUGUGAUGGUAGCCAGAGCAUCUGGGCCUGUUAAGAUACCACAUAGUCACCAAGUCCUUCCCUCUGCCUCUAGGGAGGCUAAAAAUCAACUCAAAAAGAUAGUGCCUUCAUGAGGCCCUUGCUGAAAAUCCCACUCUAUGCCUCAGCAACGCAGGCCACAAGCCACACCUGGCCGGGUAGGGAGUUGAUGCGUCUUGGUGCUUGAAAGAUUUCUUCCUCUGCCCCUUGCUGGUUGGGUGUCCUUGGGUGAGCUGUGUACAGGCUCUGAGCCUGUUCAUGUGCAAAAUAGUGGCUGUUUAUUGUUUGUCUGCCUAGAACCAUACUCUUCUUCUUUGGGAGAACCAUCCCUUCCUUCCCCAACUUUAAGGCUAAUUACAGUAUCCACAGCACUCCCUGACCAGUCCAGGGAGGGAUGCUGACUCAGGCCUGGGAUAGGGUUCAAGAAACACUACCCCCAAACCUGGCACCUUGAAUAUUUUAAGCUGAAGGAGUUUGAGAAAAUGGCAGAAAGAGGAAUGUCACUCUUCUCACCUG